UGCAGGAGACAAUACAAUCGAACCUCUUGAAAUGCGGAAGAGCUUACGUAGUUUUCCUGGCUUCAUGUUUUCCGGAGGCCUUGGGUAUGCCCGUGGAAGAAGUGGACAGAAUGUUCACGCUAAUAGAGAGUUGCAUCAGAGCAGAAGUUCCAGUGGACAAGCACAUCACGUUGGGCAUGCUACGCUACGUCAGAGGCCUCUACUUCACGGGCUGAAGUCAACCCUGUUCCGAAGGCUUGUCUUCAGGGCAAAACGUAAUGA